AGAGUGAACGCUGGCGGUAGGCCUAACACAUGCAAGUCGAACGGCAGCACGGUAAGAGCUUGCUCUUAUGGGUGGCGAGUGGCGGACGGGUGAGGAAUACAUCGGGAUCUACCUUUUGGUGGGGGAUAACGUAGGGAAACUUACGCUAAUACCGCAUACGCCCUUCGGGGGAAAGCCGGGGACCAGCAAUGGCCUGGCGCUGAUAGAUGAGCCGAUGUCGGAUUAGCUAGUUGGUGAGGUAAUGGCUCACCAAGGCGACGAUCCGUAGCUGGUCUGAGAGGAUGAUCAGCCACACUGGAACUGAGACACGGUCCAGACCUCCUACGGGAGCAGCAGGUGGGGAAUA
rnacentral:rRNA from 1 species